UGGUCAGUCCCAGAGUGAGCAGGCCUGGGGGUGCUGUGCCCCCUCCUGGCAGGGACCCACCCACUUGAUCUCUCUUCCCAUCUGACCCUUGCUCCCCAGAGACCCUCCCAGUCCCGACCUGUCCCACAGGCUGGGCCUUGACAGAGAAGCCAGGUGGGCUAGAGGGUCCUCUCACUUUGGGCCUCUGUGUCCCUGGGGUGCCACGCCUGGGACUGUCCACACCAACUGCAGGGGAGAGAAGCUCAGGAGGACUCAGGACCUGGCAAUGCCAAGAAAAUGACCCCCUCCUCCAGGAAGGCCACUGGGCUUCCACUCAGGACACUUAGGUGCCUCCAGGUUUGGCUGUGUGUGGUUUCACACCAUCAUGCCAGCUGGCACGCGCGUGCACCCAGUGGUGCUGACACCUCCACAGUGAGCCAGGGAAACCUGCCUGCGGCUGCCACCGCCCCAACCCUGGUAUCCUGGGAGGUUCCUCACGGGCAGCUCGCCCGACCCAGGUGCAGUGAAGAGUCCCCUGUGACUGAGGAGGAGCAGUGACACAGCCAGGGCACAGUGUGAUUCCAGGACUCCCGGACCCCACCCCUGUGACCGAGGAGGAGCAGUGACACAGCCAGGACACAGUGAGACUCCAGGACUCCCCGACCCUGCCCCUGUGACAGAGGAGGAGCAGUGACACAGCCAGGACACGGUGUGACUCCAGGACCCUGCCCCUGUGACCGAGGAGGAGCAGUGACACAGCCAGGGCAUAGUGUGACUCCAGGACCCUGCCCCUGUGACCGAGGAGGAGCAGUGACACAGCCAGGACACAGUGUGACUCCAGGACUCCCGGACCCUGCCCCUGUGACCGAGGAGGAGCAGUGACACAGCCAGGACACAGUGAGACUCCAGGACUCCCCGACCCUGCCCCUGUGACAGAGGAGGAGCAGUGACACAGCCAGGGCAUAGGGUGACUCCAGGACCCUGCCCCUGUGACCGAGGAGGAGCAGUGACACAGCCAGGGCACAGUGUGACUCCAGGACCCUGCCCCUGUGACUGAGGAGGAGCAGUGACACAGCCAGGGCACAGUGUGACUCCAGGACUCCCGGACCCUGCCCCUGUGACUGAGGAGGAGCAGUGACACAGCCAGGGCAUAGUGUGACUCCAGGACCCUGCCCCUGUGACUGAGGAGGAGCAGUGACACAGCCAGGGCACAGUGUGACUCCAGGACUCCCGGACCCUGCCCCUGUGACUGAGGAGGAGCAGUGACACAGCCAGGGCAUAGUGUGACUCCAGGACUCCAGGACCCUCCCCCUGUGACAGAGGAGGAGCAGUGACACAGCCAGGGCACAGUGUGACUCCAGGACCCUGCCCCUGUGACUGAUCGCCUGGGUGCUUUUGCCCCACCAUCCUGACCACUGUCAUCAUGGACCAGUCAGUGGCACUGCUAUCCUCAGACAGGCUGGCCUGGGCUGAAUGGUGGCCUUCAAACUUGGUCAUCAUCCCAAAUAAAAUGACAGGCCCAGCCACACAACACUGAAAUAGAAAACAGGCAAACAAUAGAGACAAUCAACACAACAAAAAGCUGACUCUGAAAAGAUCAAUAAAUUUGAUACAACUCUACCUAUACUGAUUUUUUAAAAGAGAGAAGUGACAAAUUAUUAACAUGAGAAAUGAAAUAGGAAACAUCACUACAGAUCUGACAGACAUUAAAAGGACAAUAAAGAAAUAUGAUGACCAACUUUAUGCCAAUAAAUUUAGACAACUUAUAUAAAAUAAACAGAUUCCUUGAAAUAUAUAAAUUAUCUAAAUUAACUCAAAAAUAUUCCUA
rnacentral:lncRNA from 10 species